GAUGAAGAACGCAGCGAAAUGCGAUAAGUAAUGUGAAUUGCAGAAUUCAGUGAAUCAUCGAAUCUUUGAACGCACAUUGCGCCCGCCAGUAUUCUGGCGGGCAUGCCUGUCUGAGCGUCAUUUCAACCCUCAUGCCCCUAGGGCGUGGUGUUGGGGAUCGGCCAAAGCCCGCGAGGGACGGCCGGCCCCUAAAUCUAGUGGCGGACCCGUCGUGGCCUCCUCUGCGAAGUAGUGAUAUUCCGCAUCGGAGAGCGAUGAGCCCCUGCCGUUAAACCCCCAACUUUCCCAGGUUGACCUCAGAUCAGGUAGGAAUACCCGCUGAACUUAAGCAUAUCAAUAAGCGGAGGA
rnacentral:misc_RNA from 1 species